rnacentral:rRNA from 1 species
UACGUAGGGCGCAAGCGUUGUCCGGAAUUAUUGGGCGUAAAGAGCUCGUAGGCGGUCUGUUACGUCCGCUGUGAAAACCCAGGGCUUAACCCUGGGCUUGCAGUGGAUACGGGCAGACUAGAGGCAGGUAGGGGAGAAUGGAAUUCCCGGUGUAGCGGUGAAAUGCGCAGAUAUCGGGAGGAACACCGGUGGCGAAGGCGGUUCUCUGGGCCUGCACUGACGCUGAGGAGCGAAAGCGUGGGGAGCGAACAGG